rnacentral:lncRNA from 1 species
UUCUCAUUUAUGGGAAAGAUUUUUCCGUGGAUUUCUCAUUUUUGGGAGUUUUCCAUGGAUUUCUCCAUCCCACCAUGAUUUUUCCAUGGAUUUCUCAUUUUUGGGAGUUUUCCGUGGAUUUCUCGGCGAUGGGAAAGAGUUUUCCAUGGAUUUCUCAUUUUUGGGAGUUUUCCAUUAAUUUCUCAUUUAUGGGAAAAAUUUUCCGUGGAUUUCUCAUUUUUGGGAGUUUUACAUGGAUUUCUCAUUUAUGGGAAAGAGUUUUCCAUGGAUUUCUCAUUUUUGGGAGUUUUCCAUGGAUUUCUCCAUCCCACCAUGAGUUUUCCAUGGAUUUCUCAUUUUUGGGAGUUUUCCAUGGAUUUCUCAUUUUUGGGCAUUUUCCAUGGAUUUCUCCAUCCCACCGCGAGUUUUCCAUGGA